rnacentral:misc_RNA from 1 species
AAAGGAGCUUAAUAUGCAAAUAAUUUCACCUAAAAAUUUUUCUUUCCAUUAAACAUUUAAAAGCUGAUGAGGUAUGUUUCUAAAUUUUCAUUACACGUUUAAUGGCUGAAAGUGUACAUUUUGAUAUGUGUGUGUGUUUUUUUUAAUGAAUUUAAUUUUGAUCAAAUAAUAACUUUGAUAAUUUUAAUGAUGAUUUUUGGUAUUAUUAAAUUAAUUUUAUUUUUGUAACGAGAUUAAAGUAUAUGAAUCAAUUUAAUUAACAUAAUUAAUACUUAAAAAAUAAAAAUGUUAAUUACAACUUUUGGUUGAUUUACGG